rnacentral:rRNA from 1 species
GACGAACCGUGCGAACGUUGUUCGGAAUAACUGGGCUUAAAGGGUGCGUAGGCGGGUCCGCAAGUCUGUGGUGAAAACCUCCCGCUCAACGGGAGAACUGCCGUGGAUACUGCGGACCUCGAGGAAGAUAGGGGCGUGCGGAACAGUUGGUGGAGCGGUGAAAUGCGUUGAUAUCAACUGGAAAUCCGGUGGCGACGGCGGCACGCUGGGUCUUUUCUGGCGCUGAGGCACGAAAGCUAGGGGAGCAAACGUG